AUUGAACGCUGGCGGCAGGCCUAACACAUGCAAGUCGAGCGAGCGGCGGAAGGGUGAGUAAUGUAUGGGGCUCUGCACGAGAGAUGAGGAUAACUACUGGAAACGGGUGCUAAUACCGCAUACUCUCGCAUGACACGAUAUGGGAUUAGCUAGUGGGUAGGGAAAAGGCGCACCAAGUCGACGAUCUCUAGCUGGUCUGAGAGGAUGAUCCGCCACACUGGGACUGAGACACGGCCCAGACUCCUACGGGAGGCAGCAGUGGGGAAUAUUGCACAAUGGGCGCAAGCCUGAUGCAGCCAUGCCGCGUGUAUGAAGAAGGUCUUCGGGUUGUAAAGUACUUUCAGCGGGGAGGCGUUACCCGCAGAAGAAGCACCGGCUAACUCCGUGCCAGCAGCCGCGGUAAUUC
rnacentral:rRNA from 1 species